UACGGGAGGCAGCAGUGGGGAAUAUUGCACAAUGGGCGAAAGCCUGAUGCAGCUAUGCCGCGUGUAUGAAGAAGGCCUUAGGGUUGUAAAGUACUUUCAUCGGGGAGGAAAAAACAAAACUAAUAAUUUUAUUUCUUGACGUUACCCGAAAAAGAAGCACCGGCUAACUCCGUGCCAGCAGCCGCGGUAAUACGGAGGGUGCUAGCGUUAAUCAGAAUUACUGGGCGUAAAGAGCACGUAGGUGGUUUUUUAAGUUCAGAUGUGAAUCCCUGGGCUUAACCUAGGAACUGCAUUUUGAAACUGAAAUACUAGAGUAUCGUAGAGGGAGGUAGAAUUCUAGGUGUAGCGGUGAAAUGCGUAGAUAUCUGGAGGAAUACCUGUGGCGAAAGCGGCCUCCUAAACGAAUACUGACACUGAGGUGCGAAAGCGUGGGGAGCAAACAGGGAUUAGAUACC
rnacentral:rRNA from 1 species